rnacentral:rRNA from 1 species
AGAGUUUCAUUUUGGCUCAGGAUGAACGCUGGCGGCGUGCCUAACACAUGCAAGUCGAGCGAAGCACUUUACUUGAUUUCUUCGGAUUGAAGGUAUAGUGACUGAGCGGCGGACGGGUGAGUAACGCGUGGGUAACCUGCCUCAUACAGGGGGAUAACAGUUAGAAAUGACUGCUAAUACCGCAUAAGACCACAGCACCGCAUGGUGCGGGGGUAAAAACUCCGGUGGUAUGAGAUGGACCCGCGUCUGAUUAGCUAGUUGGUAAGGUAAGGGCUUACCAAGGCGACGAUCAGUAGCCGACCUGAGAGGGUGACCGGCCACAUUGGGACUGAGACACGGCCCAAACUCCUACGGGAGGCAGCAGUGGGGAAUAUUGCACAAUGGGGGAAACCCUGAUGCAGCGACGCCGCGUGAGUGAUGAAGUAUUUCGGUAUGUAAAGCUCUAUCAGCAGGGAAGAAAAUGACGGUACCUGACUAAGAAGCACCGGCUAAAUACGUGCCAGCAGCCGCGGUAAUACGUAUGGUGCAAGCGUUAUCCGGAUUUACUGGGUGUAAAGGGAACGUAGACGGAGAGGCAAGUCUGAUGUGAAAACCCGGGGCUCAACCCCGGGACUGCAUUGGAAACUGUUUUUCUAGAGUGUCGGAGAGGCAAGUGGAAUUCCUAGUGUAGCGGUGAAAUGCGUAGAUAUUAGGAGGAACACCAGUGGCGAAGGCGGCUUGCUGGACGAUGACUGACGUUGAGGCUCGAAAGCGUGGGGAGCAAACAGGAUUAGAUACCCUGGUAGUCCACGCCGUAAACGA